rnacentral:rRNA from 1 species
CAACCUGCCCCUGACUCUGGGAUAAGCGCUGGAAACGGUGUCUAAUACUGGAUAUGUCCCGUCACCGCAUGGUGUGCGGGUGGAAAGAUUUUUCGGUUGGGGAUGGGCUCGCGGCCUAUCAGCUUGUUGGUGAGGUAAUGGCUCACCAAGGCGUCGACGGGUAGCCGGCCUGAGAGGGUGACCGGCCACACUGGGACUGAGACACGGCCCAGACUCCUACGGGAGGCAGCAGUGGGGAAUAUUGCACAAUGGGCGGAAGCCUGAUGCAGCAACGCCGCGUGAGGGAUGACGGCCUUCGGGUUGUAAACCUCUUUUAGCAGGAAGAAGCGAGAGUGACGGUACCUGCAGAAAAAGCACCGGCUAACUACGUGCCAGCAGCCGCGGUAAUACGUAGGGUGCAAGCGUUAUCCGGGAAUUAUUGGGCGUAAAGAGCUCGUAGGCGGUCUGUCGCGUCUGCGUGUGGAAAUCCCGAGGCUCCACCUCGGGCUUGCAGUGGGUACGGGCAGACUAGAGUGCGGGUAGGGGGAGAUUGGGAAUC